rnacentral:rRNA from 1 species
CCCUUAGAUGUUCUGGGCCGCACGCGCGCUACACUGAUGCAUUCAACGAGCCUAUCCUUGACCGACAGGUCCGGGUAAUCUUUGAAUCUGCAUCGUGACGGGGAUAGAUUAUUGCAAUUAUUAAUCUUCAACGAGGAAUGCCUAGUAGGCGCAAGUCAUCAGCUUGUGUUGAUUACGUCCCUGCCCUUUGUACACACCGCCCGUCGCUCCUACCGAUUGAAUGUUCCGGUGAGCUCUUCGGACUGCGCGGUCUGCAGUUUCUGCGUUCCGUGCGGAAAGUUGCGCAAACCUUAACAUUUAGAGGAAGGAGAAGUCGUAACA